rnacentral:rRNA from 1 species
AUGAAUGAGAAGGGCAUGUUAGAGAAGCUGACGAAAGAGAAGGGCACGUUGGAGAAGCUGGCGAAGCAAAAGAUGAAAGCGAACGGCAAUGGAGCCGGUCGCCAUCGAGAGAAUCAUCCGGUAACGAUCGAGAUCCUUGUAUUCUGCAUACUCCCUCCUUCCCAAGUCUGCAUGCAAUCCCAUAAUUUUCCCUAUUUUAUCGAAGGGAGAUGGGGAACUCAGGUUGCUUCUUUGCUGCAAUACGAGAAGUUCAUAAAAGAUUUAAACACACAGCAACUGACGUACAUCAAGUUGAUUGGACUGGGUGAACUUCUCAAGACUCCUGGCAUGAGAAUGAGACAUCUACUGUGCCAGGCCAUCGCUUAUUCAUAUGAUACAGAGCAGGAUGCCUUUAUAAUUAAUGGGAGACCAUGUAGGAUCACACUAAAAGAUGUGGAGCAUAUAACAGGCCUGCCCUGCAUGGGGAAGAAUCACGUCUCUUCAAAUCACAACGAUACUUCGGAGUUGUGGAAGGAACUGAAAGACCCCAGUGACACAAAACUUACGCUUGACCAUCUUAUGGCUAGCGUCAGGAAAUUUGUAAAUGGUGGAGCAAAUCUGGAGGGCAACCUACCACUGUUGCAGACGUGGUAUUACAAGAAGUGGAGGGUGCACCAAUUGGACUCUACCAUCUCGUAUGCAUCAAGGUUAAGGCCGCUGAUCCAAAACUGGAGUGACGACAAGGCACAGAAGGUUGACAACAUAAUCAACAAAAAUUAUAUAGGGGUUGGAGAGUAUGUCGAUGACCUGCUGCGGCCUUUCAAUCCGCCACCAGUUGGGACGCCGGUCAAACCAAAGAAUGACAGCCAGGAUAAGGCACUCAUGGGCCGUGUAUUGGCUGAUUUGAAAGAAGUUGUCUCCAUUGUGCAGGAGGCCAGUGCACAACAAUUUGAUAGGAUGUGCACCCUUGAAAAAAAUGGACGAUUGCCUUAG